UACGAAGGGGGCGAGCGUUGUUCGGAUUUACUGGGCGUAAAGGGCGCGCAGGCGGCUAUUUUUGUCAGGCGUGAAAGCCCCGGGCUUAACCUGGGAACUGCGCUUGAGACGGGAUGGCUAGAGAUCGGGAGAGGAGAGUGGAAUUCCCAGUGUAGAGGUGAAAUUCGUAGAUAUUGGGAAGAACACCGGUGGCGAAGGCGGCUCUCUGGUCCGGUACUGACGCUGAGGUGCGAAAGCGUGGGGAGCAAACAGG
rnacentral:rRNA from 1 species